GGUGACAUUGAAGUUUUAACAAAUGUGUGCAUGUUUAUUUUUUUGAAUGUUUUUUCUCCUUUAUUGUCUUGUGUUUUUUAGUUUUACAUGUUUGUCUCGUUUUAUAUGUUCCCACUCUUGGCCUGCACCUUGACGUGGUGUCCAGCACGAGGCAGGGCAUCCUGGCACACCUGGAAAUCAUCACCCCUGCAGCAUUUAUGAUCAGUUCCUCCAGCUUUUCCCUCCCAGUCUGUCUGCUAAUCUCAAGUGGUAUUGAGCCCACAUCUGAGUCUGUGUCCUUGGCCUGUUGCUCCUAUGCUAAUUAAAUCAUUCUGUUCUCUGUCUUUAGUCUCUGUUGGCCUGGAACCAUUCAGCUUGUCCUGACCUCGUCCCCUCCUGGACUCUCCACACCCUGAACCUCUUCCUCCUCUUGGACUUGAAGCUGCAUCUUCAUCAAAAUAAACUGUUGUCAUUAUAUCACC